UACAGAGGGGGCAAGCGUUAUUCGGAAUUAUUGGGCGUAAAGGGCGCGUAGGCGGUUUUUUAAGUCGGAUGUGCAAUCCCUGGGCUCAACCCAGGAACUGCAUCCGAGACUGGAAGGCUAGAGUACUGGAGAGGGUGGUGGAAUUCCUCGUGUAGCGGUGAAAUGCGUAGAGAUGAGGAGGAACACCAGUGGCGAAGGCAGCCCCCUGGGAUAACACUGACGCUCAUGUACGAAAGCGUGGGUAGCAAACAGG
rnacentral:rRNA from 1 species